rnacentral:rRNA from 1 species
GAUGAACGCUGGCGGCGUGCCUAAUACAUGCAAGUCGAGCGAACAGACGAGGAGCUUGCUCCUCUGACGUUAGCGGCGGACGGGUGAGUAAAACGUGGAUAACCUACCUAUAAGACUGGGAUAACUUCGGGAAACCGGAGCUAAUACCGGAUAAUAUAUUGAACCGCAUGGUUCAAUAGUGAAAGACGGUUUUGCUGUCACUUAUAGAUGGAUCCGCGCCGCAUUAGCUAGGUGGUAAGGUAACGGCUUACCAAGGCAACGAUCAGUAGCCGACCUGAGAGCAGGACUAGCCACACUGGAACUGAGACACGGUCGAGACGAGUAAGGGAGGGAGCAGGGGGGAAUAGGGCACAAGGGGAGCAAGCCGGAUGCAGCAAUGCGGCGUGUAUGAAGAAGGCCUUAGGGUUGUAAAGUACUUAAAGCGGGGAGGAAGGGAGUACAUUGAAUCCCUGUGCUUAUUGACGUUACCCGCAGAAGAAGCACCGGCGAACGCCGUG